GUGCUUGCUUCUGCAGCACAUAUAUCAAAUGGGAACGGUACAGAGAAGAUGAGCAUGGCCCCUGCCCAAGGAUGACACACAAAUUCAUGAAGUGUUCCAUAUUUAA